rnacentral:rRNA from 1 species
GAAGCAGCUUGCUGCUUCGCUGACGAGUGGCGGACGGGUGAGUAAUGUCUGGGAAACUGCCUGAUGGAGGGGGAUAACUACUGGAAACGGUAGCUAAUACCGCAUAACGUCGCAAGACCAAAGAGGGGGACCUUAGGGCCUCUUGCCAUCGGAUGUGCCCAGAUGGGAUUAGCUAGUAGGUGGGGUAACGGCUCACCUAGGCGACGAUCCCUAGCUGGUCUGAGAGGAUGACCAGCCACACUGGAACUGAGACACGGUCCAGACUCCUACGGGAGGCAGCAGUGGGGAAUAUUGCACAAUGGGCGCAAGCCUGAUGCAGCCAUGCCGCGUGUAUGAAGAAGGCCUUCGGGUUGUAAAGUACUUUCAGCGGGGAGGAAGGGAGUAAAGUUAAUACCUUUGCUCAUUGACGUUACCCGCAGAAGAAGCACCGGCUAACUCCGUGCCAGCAGCCGCGGUAAUACGGAGGGUGCAAGCGUUAAUCGGAAUUACUGGGCGUAAAGCGCACGCAGGCGGUUUGUUAAGUCAGAUGUGAAAUCCCCGGGCUCAACCUGGGAACUGCAUCUGAUACUGGCAAGCUUGAGUCUCGUGGAGGGGGGUAGAAUUCCAGGUGUAGCGGUGAAAUGCGUAGAGAUCUGGAGGA